CUCGGCAGCAGCCCUGCGUCUCCACUCCCUUGUGGCGGAGGUGGGAUCGCACACAACCGGAGCUGCGUGAGGCCGAUGUGAGCGGGAGCGUUGUUUGACUUCUACCUGCAGGCCCACCAGAGCAAUAGGUAGGACCAGCAUGUCCUGCAGGAGGAAGGGAGAGCUGUGGCCUUCGGGAAGGUCCCCAGCAUGGCAGAGACAACUGGCAAGAGGGCCAUUCUCUGGGUCCUCUGGUGUUCCUGUGAGAGAAACAUGUGCUUACCAUGUGCAAUACUAUCUCCUGUGCUUUCUAAGUACUCUUUAGUGACAAAAGCUAAAGUACAACUUUAUGGAGUAGUUGCUCUGACACGUGAGAAUAUUAUUCCACAGGAAAAAAACUUGUAUAGCUAGUAAUGUGAUCACUAAUAAAAAAUAAGGUAACAACAUGA